rnacentral:misc_RNA from 1 species
CAAGGGCACGGGCGCCCGUGGCUCUUUUGAGUGUAUGAUUGGGUGGGUGGGUACGUGUGUGAGGUUCUGCGGCCAUGCAAAGCGUGGUACUCUGUGUGAUGUCUGCGCGUGUAGGGAAGAUCACAUUUCCAAGCGGAGAGGUCGGUUUCGUGAGGGGAGGGCGGGGGCACGAGGGAUGGGCGGUGAGGGGCAGAUAGAAGAGGGAGAAACUUCUUCUACCUGCCUCUCCCUCUCUCCUGGUCACACCCCUCCCCCUCUCUCUACGUUCUUCAUACCUUCGUCGCUAAGUGCAGUGAUCUGAGAUGUUGUUGUUUGGUGACUGUUUGUGUGAGUGUACAUGCAUCUCUCUCUGUGAGUGAGUAUCACCACGAGGCCGGUGCAGUGCUGCCAGAACGCUGCCGUGUUUGAGUUGCGGUGUGGAGGAGUGGUUGUUCAAGCACAGCCACGCCACACCCUCUUCGCCACUUGCCUCCCUUCCCCCUCCUCCUCCUUUCUACAUGAUGAGCAACGAUGCGCCUAGGACACCUUUAGAGACGCUCUGGCACACACGCAUACGCACGCGUGCACGCUCGUAUUUUUUUCGUGUAUGCGCGGGUGCGUAUAUUCUCUAUGGCACGGGUCACAUACGUGAAAACAAACUUGAUCAAUAGCCUCGGCUCAUCUGACGCGUAGGGACUUCGAGGAGGAGUGAGAAGAAAGGCGUAUUUGAGGGAGGCGGGAACGGGCCGUGGCGGUCAUCGAGUGCUGCGGCGGCGGCCGUAUUCCCAGGACUAGACGAUUUCGACGGUUUCUUACAGGUUUUAGUGUGCGUUGGAAGGCAGCGCCUCCUCUUGUGCUCGCUCUGGUGCGGCGUGGUCUGCGCCUGCGAAGGUGUCUUUCUCUGUGCGUGCUCAGAUGGGAUGGAGGUGUCGACGCCCCUCGAGGGUGCACCACUGCUUUUUCGACACCCUCUCUGGUGACAUCCUCUCCCUCUUUCACUGGCCCCUUUUUACUCGUGCCUUUCGCCCUGCUGCCUCGCUCUGCACUGCAG